CACAAACUCGUCCUCUCUCUCACUCUCUCAGACCUGUAGAAAAACCUCUCUGCCAUUGAAACUCUCUGCAGAUCUGUAUUUUGUUGGAUUUUAGAUCAUCUUUCACAAAGGUUUUUGGUGGGAGAUUCAAUAUGAUAUUUCACAAGGAGUUACUGCAGCUGCUAUUGCUAAUCAGUUGUGCAGAAAACUUAUGGAUUUAUAAGGUUCUUCCCCCUUUCUCCUUCUCCGUUUUCUGCUGCUGAUGAGGGAUGAAUCUGACGGAAUUGGGAAAUAGUGGAGAUUAAAGAUGGUGCUGCUGUUUCGAUUAGGAGUGAUAGUUGUAGUGGGGAUCUGAAGUCGAAUUUCAAGAGGAUCUCGGUUCUGCCAUGGUGAUGUAGGGGAGAUGAUGGUUCUGCCAUGAAGAAAUUAGGGUUUGGUUUAUCCUGAAAUUGAACAAGAAAUUGGGUUUAUAUUGCUGGUAAUUGAGCAAUGAAUGGAUGGGUUUCUUUUGAUUUCGAGUUGGAAGAUGGUUGAUUUUAUGUGAGGUUUUGAAUUUGUGUUUGAACCAUGACAUGGAAGAAGAAGAAAUGGUUGCAUCUGUUUGCGAGAAUUUAUGAAAGCAACAGAAAAUAAGAUGGUGGUGUCUCCUGUUAAGAAGAAUGCUUUGUUUUGAAGCUGCAGCUGUGAAUUGCAGAUGUUAUAUUGCAGAAUGAAGCACCCACAGACUUCUAUAUACUAGUUACAGGCUCUGUGUGCACAGGAAUGGAGUAGAACAGG